GUUCUGAUGUCACAGUCUGAUACUCACUAUAAGCUGAAAUUCAUCACCUUCAACCCAAUUGCGUACCACAAUAUGAUCUGCCAAAAGAAAUGGCUAAUAACUCGGAGCAUGCGCUCAGACAGAUGCAAUCUAAAUAGGGAGGCAAAUGAUGCGCUGAACGUCGAUGGAGAAUACAGGAAAAUAAAGAAGAAUGAAAUCAGACUAAGCCUGUGACUUUACCACUGCGGAAAGGAGCACUAUGAUGCACAGAAUUACCUGCAAAUGGCAUGGCUCCUCCAAACCUGCCAUUGCAUUUGGUGGGUUUAUACCUGUUCAGCUGUAGAAAGAGAUACCUGUAGUUGCUUAAACCCGGGGAAGUUGGGACUGUUAGUUACAACUUUAGUCAUUUAUUGUGCUGCUGCCUGGGAUAGAUUUGAAACCAUUCCGGGACUGAAUGGCUGGAGUUUCAAUUUCUGUCAAUGUCACUCCACACAUGGAUACUUCACUUCAAAAAACCUCAGAAAUCAGCAAGAGAAGGAGGGAAGACAAAAAGGUGAUGGCAGCUGCCUGACUGUAGACUGACUGUGGGUGAACGCAGUGAAAACAGUCACCCUAUGGUGCUAUGAAUGCAGCCAUCAGCACAACUUCAAAGCCAUGCUUAGCACUUAGCACUCGGAACCUUCACUCAGAGAGUCUUGUAGGGGCCAAAAUAAUUUUGCAGGUAGGGAAACAUCUGAGACUUGGGCAAAGCAGAGUUACGUGGGCACGAAGGAUAAUCUCAUUUUUAAGAUUCAGCCCCCUAAAUAACAUGUGACACUACACUGUGGCUGGAGCACCAGCUGGAUCAUCUCCAGGAACUAAAGAUGUCUGGUCUGGUAGAGGGCCAAGCAAACCUUCCACAGGCAAAAGAGCAAGGUCUAAUCUUCAUGUUAUGCUUUUGUUUAUUUAUUUAUUUAUUUUCCUUUUUCUUUCCCCAGGGAAAAUCUUAAGGUGAUGAGGCAUAACUUAAAAACUUGACUAUUUUUAAGCUUUUUGGAGAGCUUGAUAGUCAUGAUGUAGCCUAGGGAGAUUCACACGUUUCAACAGGCUGGUUGUUUUUUAUCUUCCUAAGCUUUCUGCACUUUUGAUGUUUACUUCUUUGGAGUUUCUUGUAUCUGGCCAAGAUGCAUUUGGUGCAAGAACAGGGCAAAGAGGCACCAAAAGUUGUGCGGAAUUUCCCCAGUCUUUUGGUCACUGCACAAACUUCCUUGUGGCUCUCUGCCAACUGUGCAUUUUUGACAAUCUUGUCAUUUGUUCUGCUAGGAAAAAGAGCCCUCAGAAUG